CUGCAUCUCCCUUCCUGUUCCCCAUUCUCACUCACUUCUCCCUAGUGGAUAGCACCGACGCCGACUCCCAUCUACUCAUCGUUCGCGGAGGAUGAGGGCAGGAAUAAUAUCUCUUCUGGUGGCUUCACCGUCAUGCCCUCCACCCGGGCCGCCGUAUCAACGGGACCUUGCACGGCUCCCUCUUAUCUCAGCUCCACCCGCGCCAUCGUCAACAACGUGGCUCCUCUCCAAUGCCUAUAGCGCCUCCUCGCGCGGCUGCAGCGGCUCUCCUGGCCGGUAGAGGAGGUGUGGGAGGCCGCGGAUUCCUCGGCGUGGUCCUACUCUCCAAUGAGGAGGCCCUGCGAGGAGACGGCUCCACUGCUCCGAGGUCCUCUGACCAACUGCUGCUGACACCAUGGAGACUUUUGUCAUAUAUGGGAGAAUAAAGGCGUGUUUGGAUCAAGUCCUAGAUGAAAAAUGCCUAGCCUGGAGCCUGCCUGGGGACUGCCUGGACUGUGUUUGUUUCAUGUCCUGGAGAAACAGAUGCUGGCCUGGCCUGGUUCGGGUGGACCUUGAUUAGCCUGGGUUGUUUGUCCAGGCACCUUGCUUAGCCUGGGCGAGGCAUCCGAAACAGGUAGCCUGGCGCUCAAGCUCAGCUGCCUGGGCAUCAAUUCCAAGGCUAAUCAGCCGUUGCAUGUUCAUUUGUCACUUUAUGGCCCAUUAAAAAAUUCACCAGGCGAGGCUAUGAACCAAACACAACGAGUUUAAGCUAGCCUGGCCAGGCAAGAGAACACCACCGUAUCAGGAAGCUCCCAGGCUUGAAAUUUUUCCAGGCAUAACGCCCAGGCCACCAUCCAAACACACCCUAAAACCUGAGGAGGCUGUUGUAGCAAUAUUGUCUUCUCUACCAGAUGAAGUUGUGGAUAGAGUUUGUACGGUAUUGCCAUCUAAAGAUUUAGUUUCUAAGAGGAGGAAAAAACUGGAAUUCCUUCAGAUGCAGGAAGAACUUACCAAGGUGAUAUAUAUGUCUUACAAAUAUUAAAAAUGGACUAUUUUUACUUCAUCUGCAAAUGCAGCCAUGAUCUUGUCGUAGAUAUGAAACUCACAUUUGUCGUACUUCUGGUAAGCUAAUAAUGAGUAGGGCAUGUAGUCACUCUUCUGUUACUAAUUUAUUGUCUUGGCUCAAAACUCAUUCAUAUUAUGGACUUCUUUUGUCUGAAACCCCAUGUAACAUACGCUACUAUUACAUAUCCUUUCAUGCUUUAUGCUAUGAAUGAUUUUUUUC